rnacentral:rRNA from 1 species
GAUGAACGCUAGCGGCAGGCUUAAUACAUGCAAGUCGUGGGGCAGCAUGAGUGUAGCAAUACAUUUGAUGGCGACCGGCAAACGGGUGCGGAACACGUACACAACCUUCCUAUAAGUGGGGAAUAGCCCAGAGAAAUUUGGAUUAAUACCCCGUAACAUAACGAUGUGGCAUCACAUUGUUAUUAUAGCUUCGGCGCUUAUUGAUGGGUGUGCGGCUGAUUAGAUAGUUGGCGGGGUAACGGCCCACCAAGUCUACGAUCAGUAGCUGAUGUGAGAGCAUGAUCAGCCACACGGGCACUGAGACACGGGCCCGACUCCUACGGGAGGCAGCAGUAAGGAAUAUUGGUCAAUGGACGCAAGUCUGAACCAGCCAUGCCGCGUGAAGGAUUAAGGUCCUCUGGAUUGUAAACUUCUUUUAUCUGGGACGAAAAAAGGCGAUUCUUCGUCACUUGACGGUACCAGAUGAAUAAGCACCGGCUAACUCCGUGCCAGCCGCCGCCGUAAAAC